CAUAGAGGGCUUCUUCAGCCUGCCUCCUGGAGAUCACCCCGGAGCGCAAGGAAAUUCAAUAUGGGGUAACAGAUACUCCAGGCGGCGUGCACGGCGCUCGUGCACGGAAGAUGAAGGAGGGAAGGAGGGAGGGAGGGAGGAAGGGAUGGAGAGAGAGAAAACAGUUUGAUUUGGGAAAGGUGCAUCAGACCCCUUGCAGGCUGAAGAUCCGAGUGGGAGGGGCUUCACAUACCUGUCUUCGCAGUCAAGAUACAGGUGCUCCUACACGGGGUCCAAUGGGGGGAAAUACUGACACACAUUAAUCACACCGUGUCAUAAUGGUUAGUAUUAGAAACUCAAAAGACGAAUGUAGGGGAAAUUCUGUUUGCAGUGUCAGUGAAAUUAUCAUUUGGGAUGUCGUGGGAUGUUUUGGAAUGUUGUUUUCGUAUUAAGAGUAUUCUGGGAUGUGGGGAAUCUUCUUCUCCAUGACAACGCGAAGGAAGCCAGAAAUGCUUUAGCCAGUCAUUGGUGAUGGUUCUGUGAUUAACUCUUGCCUGUGCUUAAUCCAUAGAGGCAAUAUUCUUAAUACACUCUAAAUAAUGUAAAUGAA